AGGGCGUAUAAGUAUAGAGCGGUUUUCAAGGAUACACGUUAGAAUGAACAACGAUCAUAGGGAUAGGAAACACUGCGAGGGACGAUUGUGCGGGUGAUCGGGUUUCUCCUCUGGCCCAUCAGCUGAAUAGGUGGGGCUUGAUCAAUGGCAGGAAACUGAAGGAUCAAAUGUCAUAAAAUGGUGCCAGGCUGCGACAUGAAGGCAGGGGCCGUGAAACCGUACCCUCAUCAUCAGACUGUACAGUAGAGAGACAGAGUCACACUCCCGGUGUAAGCAGGGCAUAAAAACACUGCUGCAUGAUAAGGAGCUGCACAGGGACUUUGAACAUUUUAUUAGUAUCUAUAAAAGAGGCACAGGACGAAGGACACAGUGUCUAUAAAGCACUAAUGGAGGAUCAAUUAAGAUGGUCAAGCUGCAGAAAGAGACUUUUACAGUGUAGGGUUUUAACACUAACCUUGUCCUUUAACACUAACGCUAAAACCACAAGGCUGGGAAAUUGAGCCCAGUUGUAAUUCAAUUCCAAUGCAUCACCAAUAUGAUCUGUUACAGUAAAAAAUAUGUAAGAUAGUUGAUAAGAUAUUUAUAAAAUAUGGUUUAUUUGUAUGUAUAAGAAUAUAAGCAACCAGUGGAGAAUUGCAACAGAAUAAAAAUGACACAAUAUGCUGCUUUUACACACACACACAUUUGGGUUUCCAUGUUUUAUGGGGACUUUCCAUAGACAAUGGUCUUUUAUACUGUACAAACUGUAUACAGUAUUCUAUUCCCUAGCUGUAUACACCCUAACAGAAAACUUUCUGCAUUUUUACAAUGUAAAUAAAAACUGUGCAUUUACGUUAUACCUAUGACAUUUUUAUCCCUAAAAUUAUGUUUUGGGAGUUAUGUUUUGUGUACACACACACACACACAGAGAGACAGAGAGAGACAGAGAGAGACAGAGAGAGAGAGAGUUGUGUUCCACUGACAUAAUGAUUUGUAUGCCCAUUCUGUAUAAACUGUAUAUUCUAUCCUUAAACCUAACCAUCAGAGAAAACUUACUGCAUUUUUACAUUUUCAAAAACCAC